UGCAAGUCGAGCGGCAGCGCGGGGGCAACCCUGGCGGCGAGCGGCGAACGGGUGAGGAAUACAUCGGAACGUACCCCGGAGUGGGGGAUAACGCCGCGAAAGCGGCGCUAAUACCGCAUAUGCUCUGCGGAGGAAAGUGGGGGACCCUGCAAGGGGCCUCACGCUCUGGGCGCGGCCGAUGUCCGAUUAGCUAGUUGGUGAGGUAAUGGCUCACCAAGGCGACGAUCGGUAGCUGGUCUGAGAGGAUGAUCAGCCACACUGGGACUGAGACACGGCCCAGACUCCUACGGGAGGCAGCAGUGGGGAAUUUUGGACAAUGGGGGCAACCCUGAUCCAGCCAUGCCGCGUGCGGGAAGAAGGCCUUCGGGUUGUAAACCGCUUUUAGUCGGGAAGAAAAGAUCACUCUUAAUACGGGUGGUUCUUGACGGUACCGGCGGAAUAAGCACCGGCUAACUACGUGCCAGCAGCCGCGGUAAGACGAACCGUGCGAACGUUAUUCGGAAUCACUGGGCUUAAAGCG
rnacentral:rRNA from 1 species